rnacentral:rRNA from 1 species
CUACGGGUGGCAGCAGUGAGGAAUAUUGGGCAAUGGGCGCAAGCCUGACCCAGCCAUCCCGCGUGCAGGAUGACAGCCCUACGGGUUGUAAACUGCUUUUAUACAGGAGGAAAAGCCUUGACGUGUCAAGGUCUGACGGUACUGUAAGAAUAAGCAUCGGCUAACUCCGUGCCAGCAGCCGCGGUAAUACGGAGGAUGCAAGCGUUAUCCGGAUUUAUUAGGUUUAAAGGGUGCGUAGGCGGAACAUUAAGUCAGUGGUGAAAUCUUGCGGCUUAACCGUAAAAUUGCCGUUGAAACUGAUGUUCUAGAGUAUAGUUGAGGUAGGCGGAAUGUGUCAUGUAGCGGUGAAAUGCAUAGAGAUGACACAGAACACCGAUUGCGAAGGCAGCUUACUAAGCUAUUACUGACGCUGAGGCACGAAAGCGUGGGGAGCGAACAGGAUUAGAUACCCUAGUAGUC